CCCAUGCGAGAUCCAGAGCAUCAGCACUACAACUCCUACGAGCAGUUUCCGAAGCAGCAGCACCCGGC
rnacentral:SRP_RNA from 1 species